CCUUAACUCCUUCCAUUACUCUUCACAAUGUGCUGCUAGUUCCUUCUUUUAAACACAACUUGAUUUCUGUUCACAAGUUAGUGAAGCAGUUACAUUGCAUAGUUAUGUUCACUGAAUAUUCCUGCUUCCUACACAUGAUACAGGACCCUUCUCUGAGAAGGCCACUGGAUCUUGGUAGGGAAGCUGCUGGGCUGUAUAAACUAGCUUGGGUUCCUUCUUCCCCUUCUC
rnacentral:lncRNA from 1 species